rnacentral:tRNA from 1 species
GGGAUUAUGGCUCAGUGGUAGAGUGCUUGCCUUGCAUGCAUGAGGCCCUGGGUUCAAUUCCUCAGCACCA